UAUUUUUUCAGCGAGUAACCAUUUUCUGGGUUACAGGGCUAAUAUUUUGACCCAAUUCCUGGGUUGUUUAGGUUUCUGGGUUAUUUUUCAAAGAGUAACCCAUGUUCUGGGUUAACGCCCCUUCCCCCGCCCCCUGCUGUUGUUCUGGAAUUUUCUCACAACAGUCGUUUGAAACAACCGUCACUUGAACUUGAACGCACUCGAUCCGUUUUGGUCUGGGCUUCUUCGGUGCAACUUCGUCGCGUAUUCAAGGUCUUUUUAAAUGGACAGCUUUGUCGCUGAUAAGCUAACUGAGUGGCGGAUGUCUGAGCUGAUUUUAGAGGUGAAGACAGAGAUGAGGAGGCAUUUCUUCUCUUAGAUGAGGACACUA